GUUCCUGGGCUCAGGAUGAACGCUGGCGGCGUGCUUAACACAUGCAAGUCGAACGGAGUUUUUAACGGAAGUUUCGGAUGGAAGUUUAAAAACUUAGUGGCGGACGGGUGAGUAACGCGUGGGUAGCCUGCCUCAUACAGGGGGAUAACAGUUAGAAAUGACUGCUAACACCGCAUAAUAUAGCGAAACCGCAUGAUUUUGCUAUCAAAUAUUUAUAGGUAUGAGAUGGGCCCGCGUCUGAUUAGCUAGUUGGUGGGGUAAAAGCCUACCAAGGCGACGAUCAGUAGCCGGCUUGAGAGAGUGACCGGCCACAUUGGGACUGAGACACGGCCCAAACUCCUACGGGAGGCAGCAGUGGGGAAUAUUGGACAAUGGGGGAAACCCUGAUCCAGCGAACCGCCGCGUGAGUGAAGAAGUAUUUCGGUAUGUAAAGCUCUAUCAGCAGGGAAGAUAAUGACAGUACCUGACUAAGAAGCCCCGGCUAACUACGUGCCAGCCGCAGC
rnacentral:rRNA from 1 species